CUCUCCCUCUCUAAUAUAAAAUCUUUAAUCUUGAAAUGUCGUCAAUUCGUUUACUUUCGUGACUGUUUUCAUUUUCAAGGUGAUAGCUUUUUGAGCUCUGUCUCUCUCUCUCUCUCCAUCUCUGUCUUUGCAUUUGUAAAGCUAUCGCAGCUGCGUAUCUGAUUUGGGUUUAUUUUUUUUUUCACUUUUUUCUUGCUGGGUUUUCAUUUUUAUGUAUCUGUGUAUAUGGGUUUCUCUUAUUUCCUCUGUCUAACAUCUAUGUAUGCACAAGUAUGGUUUGUAAUGUGGGUUUAAUUUUGAUUUGCAUUGUUGUAUCUGUUGUUGUUUCUGUUCAUUUGUGCCUUCUGCUUUCUGGGUUUUCUUCUUUGAAAGUAAAUUUAUCACAUCUUUCCAUUUGUAGAUAAAGGUGCCGCUCUUUCCUCUUUAUCUCAUGGUUGUUUGGAUUUGUAUGUAUAAUUUAUCUUAUGCCAUCAUGUGGUUAUUUUGGCUUUGAAGAGUAUAACACUUUUGACUAGUGACCAUAACUCUUUUUGUCAGAGCUAUCCAUGCCAUAGGUUUCUAAUCUAUGUUGGUUGCUUUUCUCAUUUCCUACACUGUUCGAUUACUGAUAAAACAAGAGAAAGGCAAAGUAAAUAUUGUUCUGAAUUUUUCGUUUUUACAUCUCUAACUUUCAGAAACUAAGCCAAAUGCUAGAAAUGGGUUACAGAUAUAUUUUGUCGAACAGUUUUGGAUUUUAUAAUCUUUCUUUGAUUAUUUUGUUGGUACGCUGUUUAUAACUUUAUAGAGUUUAUGCUGAUUUUAACUGCAGAGCAGGGAUUUUUUUCCAGUACCUAUUCUGUUGGACUUUUGGUGAAGGAGAAGAGAUUGCACGUAUGGUUGGCUUGGAUAUCAAUAACUGUUCUGUUUGCAAAGCUUUCUAAACCCCUUUUUAUUAUGCAACUUGAAGGAUGGGGGAUCAUUUUGUGUUACUGGUAAAUCGGUUGCUAACUGAAUCUACCAUUGAAGCUGCUAUUGAGAGCAAAAACCGCUGGCAGCAAGCAACUCCCUCUGGAAGCCAAGAUAAUACCUCUGACCUUUCAUCACAAAGGAUGGAUUUAGAUUUUAGGACAUCUUCAAGAAAAUUGGUAGAGUGUAGGAUUUGCCAUGAUGAGGAUGAAGACACAAAUAUGGAGGCACCAUGCUCUUGCUGUGGCAGCUUGAAGUAUGCUCACCGGAAGUGUGUUCAGAGGUGGUGCAAUGAGAAGGGUGAUACUAUCUGUGAGAUCUGUCACCAGCAAUUUAAGCCCGGGUAUACAGCACCACCUCCUUUGUUUCAUUAUGGUGGCAUUCCUAUGAACUUCAGGGGAAACUGGGAGAUAAGCAGAAGGGACUUAAAUAAUCCUGGAUUUAUAGCAAUGGUUAACACAGACCAUGAAUUUAUAGACUCUGACUUUGAUGAUUAUUCAGCUCCCUCUACUAGAAGCCUGAUGUGCUGUCGUGUUGUUGCUAUUAUUGUACAACUCUUUCUCUAUUUCAUUCUCUGUGCAACACACGCUCACACAUUACUUCAUCUCAUAGCAUAUGAGUUUUUAAACCAAUAAGAUGUAAUCAAAGGUAGAUCCUUUGGCUAUAUUAGUUUGCACAAAAUCAUCCCUAAAGCUAAUGCCAUGAUCACUGAUUUUUCUAAAUCAAGCGGGACUGUUUCAAAUAUGCAACCAAUAAAAAAGUCUUUUUUCUUUGGCAGCAUGUAGCUUGCAAGCAUACGUGAGCAGGCAAGACAAUAGAUACUAGUAUGUCCCCAAAUAGUCAAUAGAAGGGCUAAAGCAUCUAGUCAUGACAUUAUCAGUCAGAGUUUUUAUGGUUCUUCUGGCCUUGCGCCAUACUCUUCCGAUCAUUAAUAGUGGAGCUGGAGAUUACUCGACAACAAUGUUCAUGUUACUAAUAUUGAGGACCAUCGGGAUUCUUUUGCCCAUUUAUGUCAUGGUUAAGGCAUUCACUGCUAUCCAGCAUCGACGUCGACAGCAGGUCAGUGAUGGUUAUGUUUUCUGAAUUUUUGGGAAAUUUUGUCUGAGCUGUCUUCUUACAUAAUAGAAAAUCCCAAACUUUAGCUUUUGUUAGGUUAUUCUGCGGAAAUUCAAGUCCUGAAAAUGUUUGCCAGGUCUUGGAUGUCCAAUCUUUUUUGAGGCAGUUGGCAUUUCUAGUGCACUAUAUACCUGUUCAGCGAUGACACUAUAGUAGUUCAAAGUGCCUCAUGUAAUCACAUGCAUAUCGGCCACCAAACUUCUUUUAACUGUGCAAAUCUUGAAUUUGAUUCCAUGUGUUAUAAACAUUCAAGAAAACUGUGCUGUAUAUCUUUUGUUAACGAUACUAAAUAUUAACAUUAAUGUUUUCUGUUCUUCAAUAUGCUAGCAUCCUCGUUUCUCACUUGCUGCAUCAGAUGAAGAAAAUGAGUUGCCACAGCUGCAGCCUCAGUCACACUUUAUUCCCAUUCAAUGAUUGCCACAACCACCUCACCUAAAGGGCAACAAAAUGUACAGAUGAGGGAAUCAAAUUUCAGUUCUUCCACCAUAGCGAGUGUGCAAACUUGCUUUUAGUAUGGCGAAAAUCAGCAGGAAUUAAUGCUACAGAAAAAAUCAUCAUAUUAUCAUGAAGUAU
rnacentral:misc_RNA from 1 species